CAAAUUGAUUUAAGGUUAGCAUGCUAAUAUAUUGAUUCAACAUUAGGAUGCUAACCCGUUGAUUAAUGUUAGCAUGUUAACCUGUUGAUUUAAGGCUGGCAUGCUAACACGUUGAUUUAACGUCAGCAUUGCUAACCCAUUGAUUUAAUGUUAACAUGCUAACACAUUGAUUUAACGUUAGCGUGCUAAAACAUUGAUUUAACUGUUAGCAUG